rnacentral:rRNA from 1 species
GAACGCUGGCGGUGUGCUUAACACAUGCAAGUCAACGAGAAUUUAUCUUCGGAUAAUAGUAAAGUGGCGAACGGGUGAGUAACGCGUAAAUAACUUGCCUCAAAGAUUGGGACAACAUUGGGAAACCAGUGCUAAUACCAAAUAAUGCAGCGGGCCCUUCGGGGUAAUAGUUGUUAAAGUAGGCUUCGGCUUACACUUUGAGAUAGAUUUGCGUCCGAUUAGUUAGUUGGUAGGGUAAUAGCCUACCAAGACCAAGAUCGGUAGCUGGUCUGAGAGGAUGAUCAGCCACACUGGAAUUGAGAUACGGUCCAGACUCCUACGGGAGGCAGCAGUGAGGAAUUUUGCACAAUGGGCGAAAGCCUGAUGCAGCAACACCGCGUGAUUGAUGAAGUUUUUAGGAAUGUAAAAAUCUGUCGUAAGGGAAGAAAUGUUUCAGAUGUUAAUACCAUCUGUCAUUGACGGUACCUUACAAGAAAGGACCGGCUAACUUCGUGCCAGCAGCCGCGGUAAUACGAGGGGUCCUAGCGUUGUCCGGAUUUACUGGGCGUAAAGGGUACGUAGGCGUUUUAAUAAGUUGUAUGUUAAAUAUCUUAGCUUAACUAAGAAAGUGCAUACAAAACUGUUAAGAUAGAGUUUGAGAGAGGAACGCAGAAUUCAUGGUGGAGCGGUGACAUGCGUAGAUAUCAUGAGGAAAGUCAAAUGCGAAGGCAGCCUUCUGGCUCAAAACUGACGCUGAGGUACGAAAGCGUGGGGAGCGAACAGGAUUAGAU